GCAUUUAGUAGAGAUAGGGAAAGAGGGAACUGACCGUAGACAAAGGAAAGCAAAAUCAAUACUACAGCUUAUGACUAAAACUGAGCAGAUUCCAUACUGACAUUGCAAAGUCCAAUAAUGUACUUACUGACUUAGCUGGAAUUGCAUAUCCUUGUAAAUUAUCAAUCUUUUUGUUUUCCUCUUUUAUUUCUUGUGAGUCAAACAGUCGAGGUUGUGUAUACUAAAAUAUCCGAAAAUGCCACACUUGGUUUUCAACCUGUAUUCUCUUAUAUGUUUUGUUCAUGUAUAAAAAUGUUUUUGUUUAGGCGGUAUAAUUUUCUUACGAAAGCGAGUCAAUUCAUUGCACGUGUUUCCGCAUUAACUGUUUGCUUUGCAUUGCAGGAAUAAAUAACAGCUUAUGACUAAAGCUGAGCAGAUUCCAUACUGACAUUGCAAAGUCAAAAAAUGUACUUACUGACUUAGCUGCAAUUGUAUAUCCUUGUAAAAUUUCGAUCUUUUUGAUUUUCUCUUUUUUAUUUCUUGUGAAUCAAACAGACGAGAUUGUGUAUACUGUACAGUGGUGGAGCCAGGAUUUUUAACAAGGGGAUUCAAAAAUAUCCAAAAAUGCCACACUUGGUUUUCAACCUGUA
rnacentral:lncRNA from 1 species